UACGUAGGGUGCGAGCGUUGUCCGGAAUUACUGGGCGUAAAGAGCUCGUAGGUGGUUUGUCGCGUUUGUCCGUGAAAACUCACAACUCAAUUGUGGGCGUGCGGGCGAUACGGGCAGACUGGAGUACUGCAGGGGAGACUGGAAUUCCUGGUGUAGCGGUGGAAUGCGCAGAUAUCAGGAGGAACACCGAUGGCGAAGGCAGGUCUCUGGGCAUUAACUGACGCUGAGGAGCGAAAGCAUGGGGAGCGAACAGG
rnacentral:rRNA from 1 species